CCUACGGUGGGCAGCAGUAAGGGAUAUUGGUCAAUGGGGGAAACCCUGAACCAGCAACGCCGCGUGAGGGAAGACGGUUUUCGGAUUGUAAACCUCUGUCCUCUGUGAAGAUGAUGACGGUACCUGACCAAGAAGCCCCGGCUAACUACGUGCCAGCAGCCGCGGUAAUACGUAGGGGGCAAGCGUUAUCCGGAUUUACUGGGUGUAAAGGGAGCGUAGACGGCAGGGCAAGUCUGGAGGGAAAGGCGGGGGCUCAACCCCCGGACUGCUCUGGAAACUGCCAGGCUGGAGUGCAGGAGAGGUAAGUGGAAGUCCUAGUGUAGCGGUGAAAUGCGUAGAUAUUAGGAGGAACACCAGUGGCGAAGGCGGCUUACUGGACUGUAACUGACGUUGAGGCUCGAAAGCGUGGGGAGCAAACAGGAUUAGAUACCCGGGUAGUC
rnacentral:rRNA from 1 species